rnacentral:rRNA from 1 species
ACGGAAGGCAGCAGUGGGGGAUAUUGCACAAUGGGGGAAACCCUGAUGCAGCGACGCCGCGUGAGCGAAGAAGUAUUUCGGUAUGUAAAGCUCUAUCAGCAGGGAAGAAAAUGACGGUACCUGACUAAGAAGCUCCGGCUAAAUACGUGCCAGCAGCCGCGGUAAUACGUAUGGAGCAAGCGUUAUCCGGAUUUACUGGGUGUAAAGGGAGCGUAGACGGUUUGCCAAGUCUGAUGUGAAAGGUGGGGGCUUAACCCCCAAACUGCAUUGGAAACUGGUAGACUAGAGUGUCGGAGAGGUAAGUGGAAUUCCUAGUGUAGCGGUGAAAUGCGUAGAUAUUAGGAGGAACACCAGUGGCGAAGGCGGCUUACUGGACGAUAACUGACGUUGAGGCUCGAAAGCGUGGGGAGCAAACAGGAUUAGAUACCCUGGUA